AUUUACUUAGCUCUUCUAGAAGAUGAGUAAUUGCAAAAUUAUCUAUAACAAGUUCCAAGACUUAUUUCUCUUAUUACCUAGCAAUUUCCACCUUGUGGCUCAUUUGGGAAAAUAUGAAUAUCCUAUACACAUAUGUAUGGUAAUGAAAGUUUCAAUGAGGGGAUUUUUUUCUGUGAUGUGGCCUCAAAUGAGGGCGUGUCCAGAAGAAAUUAGCAUUUGAGUCAGUAGUAGGCUGAGUAAAGAAGUUCACCAUCACCAAUGUAGGUGGGUGUUAUCUAAUCCAGGGGUCCUCAACUGGCCUCGUACUGGUACCUGUCUGUGACCUGUUAGGAACCAGGCCACACAGCAGGAGGUGAGCGAGCAUUACCUUCUGAGCUCCGCCUCCUGUCAGAUCAGCUGCAGCAUUACAUUCUCAUAGGAGCACCAACCCUAUUCUGAACUGAACAUGUAAAGUCUAG
rnacentral:lncRNA from 1 species